GCAGCCGCCGCGGUAAUACAGAGGGUGCGAGCGUUAAUCGGAUUUACUGGGCGUAAAGCGUGCGUAGGCGGCUUUUUAAGUCGGAUGUGAAAUCCCUGAGCUUAACUUAGGAAUUGCAUUCGAUACUGGGAAGCUAGAGUAUGGGAGAGGAUGGUAGAAUUCCAGGUGUAGCGGUGAAAUGCGUAGAGAUCUGGAGGAAUACCGAUGGCGAAGGCAGCCAUCUGGCCUAAUACUGACGCUGAGGUACGAAAGCAUGGGGAGCAAACAGGAUUAGAUACCCCCGUAGUCCCUGUCUCUUAUAC
rnacentral:rRNA from 1 species